CCUACGGGAGGCAGCAGUGAGGAAUAUUGGUCAAUGGGCGAGAGCCUGAACCAGCCAAGUCGCGUGAGGGAGUACUGCCCUAUGGGUUGUAAACCUCUUUUGUCGGGGAGCAAAAGCCGGACGUGUCCGGCUGUGAGAGUACCCGAAGAAAAAGCAUCGGCUAACUCCGUGCCAGCAGCCGCGGUAAUACGGAGGAUGCGAGCGUUAUCCGGAUUUAUUGGGGUUAAAGGGUGCGCAGGCGGAUUUUUAAGUCAGCGGUCAAAUCGUGGGGCUCAACCCCAUCCAGCCGUUGAAACUGGGGAUCUAGAGUGUGCGAGAGGUAUGCGGAAGGCGUGGUGUAGCGGUGAAAUGCAUAGAUAUCACGCAGAACCCCGAUUGCGAAGGCAGCAUACCGGUGCACAACUGACGCUCAGGCACGAAAGCGUGGGUAUCGAACAGGAUUAGAUACCCUGGUAGUC
rnacentral:rRNA from 1 species